AGAGUUUGAUCCUGGCUCAGGACGAACGCUGGCGGCGUGCUUAAUACAUGCAAGUCGAACGGAAUCCAUGCAGUGGCAACACUGUUGAAGAUUUAGUGGCGAACGGGUGCGUAACACGUGAGCAACCUGCCCCAAAGACUGGGAUAACACCGGGAAACCGGUGCUAAUACCGGAUGCCCCCAUGGAGUCGCAUGGCUCUAUGAGGAAAGGAUUCUGCUUUGGGAGGGGCUCGCGGCCUAUCAGCUUGUUGGUGAGGUAACGGCUCACCAAGGCUACGACGGGUAGCUGGUCUGAGAGGACGAUCAGCCACACUGGGACUGAGACACGGCCCAGACUCCUACGGGAGGCAGCAGUAGGGAAUCUUGCGCAAUGGGCGAAAGCCUGACGCAGCAGCGCCGCGUGGGGGAUGAAGGCCUUCGGGUUG
rnacentral:rRNA from 1 species